CGCGGAGGUGGCGUCACAAAGACGCACUGCAGCCCGUCUAUAAAAACGCGACUUUCAGAGGCCUCAACAUCACUGUUUCUCUCUCUGCUUCGUCCUUGUCCGGGUGCAUUUCUUCCUGCCCUCUGAUCCCUUCAAACUUGUUAAUCUUGCUUAUGUUUAAUCUUAUUAAAUUAGGUUUUUCUCUUCUACCGGUUCUGUUAUGGAAUUCAUCAAGCGGAGGUAUUUUGGAUCGACCACCACCCGGUGCUUGUAACGCCUCUAUCUGCAAAUUCUGAUUACUCAUUUGUUCUGCUCCUACCUGAACGCCAACUCCGAUCUUCUAAUCAAAUUUAAUUCAGAGGCUACCUAACCGAAAUCCUUUAGUUUUUGACGUUGGUAUUGAAAACCAGAAACCAGUCGGAGAAAUAUAUGUACGAAAAGGCGGGCUAGGGUAUUGAAAUCGUAGGAGUCUUGUAGAGAAAAUGGAAAAGGGAAGUAGAGAUUGGGAAAAAGAGAAUGAUUCACUAAAAUUAGAAAUAGAGGAUGUGCUUUUUUGCUGAAACAGAACAAGGAUCAAACCUUCCUAAGUGAGACUUACAAAUUGAAGGUUUUUGAACCCUACUUUAUUUAAUUUAACAGCGGAACUUAACUUUCUUGGAAAAUAGUAAAUCAGGUAAUUGGACUCCCCUUUGCAGUUGUUUACUAGGGACUUGUUGUUGAAAGGAACAAAUAAAGUUUCUUCCUGUUGCUGGUUAUUCAGGCGACCAGUGCAGCUGUGCGGAUGUGUGGCAUGAGUAUCAUUUUACGCCAUGUACUUUCUUAAGAAUGGUGUUUUCACUCUUACUGAGUUUUAUAGGGUUGUUAUCUCAUAUUUGUAUCUGCACUUUGUGUGUUGUUGAAACGGAAGUUUAUAGGUUGAACUUCCAUUUUGGCGGAUUCUUCCUCUCGGAAAGUAAGUCAUUUAGCAUGGUCCAGUUUUAAUGGAGUUCAUAAUAAUCACGUUAGCUCUUAAUAAAGGGAUUGAUCGAUGAAUAUCCUACAAAUUUUGUGCUUGACUAGGGAUUUUUUGUUGAUAAAUAGAUCUUCACAAAUGUUGGUUGUAGUGAUUUUGAUUUUACCCACAGAUAGUCUUAUUCUUUUUAUCUUUGCCAUUAUCCCCCCUCUUUUCCUUGGAGAAGUAGCUGUCUUUGUUUUAUUUGUUUCUUUUUGUUUACUUAAGCUCCUGCUGUUCGUAAUUUCUUUUUUGUUUUUUGAGAUAACAAAAAAAAAUGUUGUUCGUAAUUUCUUUCGUGCUUCAAAUGAUCGCCCAGUGUAUUUGUAAUUCGUACUUUUUCUGUUGCAAAAUCAGGAGUCAGUAUUCUGCUUCUUGGUAAAUGAUUAUUUAUACUGUGUGACGCUCUUGGAAGUUCUUUCACUAUAACUUGAUCCUUUUCAUGUGUCUUUGAUUUGUAGGGACUAUAUCAUUGCUAAAUGAUAUCCUUCGUACAGUUAAAGUUGGUGAUUGUUAAUUCAAGAGGAAUCCAGAAUGCUUGGUUUCGCUUGGCUAAAGAGUCCCCAGUUCAACGUGUGCAAGGGACUGAGAGUUUUUGAGCAGUAGGAGUCACCACUUGUGUCGAACAUUCAAGUCACCACUUGCCUUUCCUGUACAGCCCUUUUACGAAUGUUGAUAUCCCAAUUUGAAGUAGUGCAAUAGAACUAAUGAUUUAAGGUGUUUAUUAGAGUUGUUAUGUUCGAGAUGAGACCAGGUCUUUUCUAAUUGCUGGAUAAACAGACCAUCAGGUCUGUCUUGCAUGGACUAUAUCCUGGCAGUAUUAUAAUCUUCGUUCAAUCAGCAUAUAGUUUGGUUGUUUGAGAGGUAUGCAAUAUUCAUCUUAUGGGAGAAAGGUUGUCGUUCUUCAUUUUGAAGACACAUCAGGUAAGUAGAUUUGAUUUUGUUUGUCGAUAAAAGUGCCUUAAUUUAUUUUAUUGCAAGUGAGAGAAAAUUGAUUUGUUUUUUCAAAAUAAAUUUGCGUCCUUGUUUAAGGAAAUUUUUUUCGAUUUGUUCGAAGAAAGUAUAAUUCCUUAUGUUCGUUCGGUAGUUUGAAUUUAAAAAAAAAAUGUCGCUGGGUCUUCUAAUAGCAAGUAAAUAUCUUUUGGUAUCACUUUAAGUUUCUUGUUUCUUUCGUUGAAAAAUAAUUUUUUACAGUGUCCCAGUUUGGAAAGUAAGAAAACAAGUAAAUAUGUCCUGAUAGAUUAGUUUGAAAGAAAAAGUUAUUUUGAUGACACAUUUUCUUUUGAAGAGUUGGCAAACUUUCUCACACGGAGUUGACAAACUAGCACGGACGGAAAACAUGGAUUCUUGGUUAUCAGGAUAUUUAUCUUAUGUGAGAAAAGUUGUCGUUCUUCAUUUUGAAGCCACAUUAUGUAACUAGAUUUGCUUUUGUUUGUCGGUAAAAAUGCCGUAAUUUAUUUUAUUGUAAGUGAGAGGAAAUUGAUUUAUUGUUUGAAAAUAAAUUUGUGUCCGUAUUUAAU